rnacentral:rRNA from 1 species
UACGUAGGGUGCGAGCGUUAAUCGGAAUUACUGGGCGUAAAGCGUGCGCAGGCGGUUCGUUAAGUCAGCUGUGAAAGCCCCGAGCUCAACUUGGGAAUUGCGGUUGAAACUGGCGAACUAGAAUCUGGCAGAGGGGGGUGGAAUUCCACGUGUAGCAGUGAAAUGCGUAGAGAUGUGGAGGAACACCGAUGGCGAAGGCAGCCCCCUGGGCUAAGAUUGACGCCCAGGCACGAAAGCGUGGGGAGCAAACAGG